rnacentral:rRNA from 1 species
AUUGAACGCUGGCGGAAUGCUUUACACAUGCAAGUCGAACGGCAGCACGGACUUCGGUCUGGUGGCGAGUGGCGAACGGGUGAGUAAUGUAUCGGAACGUAUCCAAUAAUGGGGGGAUAACGAGUCGAAAGAUUCGCUAAUACCGCAUACGCCCUACGGGGGAAAGCAGGGGAUCUUCGGACCUCGCGCUAUGAGAUGAGCCUGCGUUAGAUUAGCUAGUUGGUAGGGUAAAGGCCUACCAAGGCGACGAUCUAUAGCUGGUCUGAGAGGACGAUCAGCCACACUGGGACUGAGACACGGCCCAGACUCCUACGGGUGGCUG